GUGGAAAUUUGUUUUCUCUUUGCUAUAUCUGUUCAGUUCAGUUCAGUCGCUCAGUCAUGUCCAACUCUUUGCGACCCCAUGAAUCGCAGCAUGCCAGGCCUCCCUGUCCAUCACCAACUCUAUAGGUACCUACAAAUUAUAUUCAAUGUGGUUUCUUGGUUCAUGAAUCUAAAAUAUUUACAAUCUGGUCUUUUAUAGAAAAUGUUUAUUGAUCCCUGAUCUAAUAUUUGGUGUUGAGCAGCAUGAUUCGAAAAAGGUCAGUUGUUAGUUGUUUUAAAAAAGAGAGCAAUUACAGUUUCACCAAUUCCAAGUUUAUUUAUAUGUAAUUUAAGCAUGCUACUUUGUGUUAUCAUUUUUAAAAUCCCUAUUUAUUUGCUACGUUCAGGGUAUUUUAGGGAGGAAGGACAAUUGGUUUUUUUGUUUGUUUGUUUUCAAAGAAUGCUCACAUGUUUAGCCUGUUUGUCACGUUCCUAUUGUCACAAUUGACUAAUUGUUACUAAGGCAUUCCAUUUGACAACUUGUUUUCAGUGAGUGCCACAUUACGUGCAGCACAGUGUUAAAUAUAAUUCAGAUCAUCUAAAACUAUGUCUCAGUAAACACACAAUCUAGAAAAGCUUUUUGUUUGGGAUCACUGCUUGCUACCCUCAUCAAUAAAGAUGUUUAUGAUUUUAUUUUUCCAAUUGACUACCAUCUCAUUUCAGAAAAAAAAUUAAACAAAGAGAACCUGCUGAAGAAAAAUGACAAUUGUAUGAAUAUCCAUUCAUCCAUCCCUUUAACUGACCCCAAGGAAAGUAUGGAGGAUACAUAAUGGAAGUAGAAAGACACAGUUGUGAUUUGCUCCACAUUAAACAUUUUAUUUUUUAAGCUGUAGCCUUUUUUUCUUGGAAGACCUUGAAUCAGCAAGGGGAAGCACACACAGGAGUGACUGCAUCCCUGAAGCUUGGUCUAAAGGCCAUCCUUGACUUAGCCAAGCAAGGCUUAUGGAGCAAAUAAAUUCAGCCUGGACCUUGGGCUGUUUAUUCAUCAUUUACUAAUCCACUCAGCACACCUUUACUGAGCAUUCGCAGUGAGCACUAGGACAACAAUUUCUGCUUCAGAAGAAUUUAUAGUUCAUUUAAUCCUGCUCUACCAUGGUAACCCGAGGGUAAAUAUAAUUAGCUGUCUCACUUUGUUUACAUGCAUCGCCUUCACCUUUUAAAGGUACCAAUAUUGGUACUCCUAAGAUAUUAAAUAUAUGUAGCUCAGCCCUGCCAUUGAAACCUAAUCCCGGGACCACGUUCUUAGCCUUCCUUGUGGCUCAGAUCCCCAGACCAUACCCACAGCACCCAAAGCCAAGAUUCCUCUUUUAUUGCCCGGUUUUUUUUCCUUCCCAUUCAUUCCUUCAGGAAAAGAUUCAUUCUACAAAGUCAACUCCCACUUUAAAAAGUGAACUCUAGAUGAGAAUACCAGCUAAUGUUGAUCAGUUCUGAUCAGCACACUUAUUCUGUUCUGUACACUUUACCCAAAUUAACUCACUUCCUCUCACAGGACCCUUAAGAUGUAAGCAUUCCUAACAUUCAACACUUGGGAAAUGAGGAAACAGGCACAAAAAAAUUGAGUAAUUUGCCCAAGGCUAUCUACUAAGAGGACUUCCCAGGUGUGUUCUUUACCACUGAGUCACCGGAGAAACCCCAUUUCUGAGCUGAUCAUUAGGCAAUAAGCAGCCGUCCUCAGGGUGGAUGGGAAGGGAGGCAGUUUCAGUAAAAGACCAUCCUGCAGUGGUCAGUGUUGGACCUGGAGAAUUGAGGAAAGAGUCUGCAUCCCUAAGAGACUCUUAUUUCUUCAGAAGUCAGGAAUGUACAGCCUGGUAAGCUCCAGUGUCCUGAGAUGGCUCACCCUUGUUCUGGUAGAUGAUCGUCCUACUGGGCCUGCCUGAGGGGGGCUUAUUCACAGAAGUAACAGGAUGAAUUCAAGGCCAGAUUAUGGCCAAACAGCUGUCAAGUUCAGCCAGGGCUCCUGACUCACUCACUCCAGGCAGAGGCCAAGCCCUUUAGAAAAAUCUAUUCCUUUGUCACAUUGUGAGAAAGAGACUAGAGCCAGAUGGUUGAUUAUCAAGGGUUUUGUGAGCCUUAAAACCCUUCAAGUGAGGGAUGUGUCAUAUCAGACUAGGUCACUAAGGGUGAAUAUGUAAAUAAAAUGGUCAGAAUGAGCUUUUAGUUUUGACUCUCAUGUAUGUGCCUCUCCUCCAGAAGCAGUUUAGGAUGUGUCAAAAAAAAGCCUUUACUGUGAGCUCAUACCAAAGAAAUGACAGCAGGGCAAGCUGUAAGAACAACUUCUACGUAGAUGGACCUAGAGAUUAUGACAGUAAGUAAAGCAAAUCAGACAGAGGAAGACAGAUAUCAUAUGCUAUGAAUUACAUGUGGAAUCUAAAAAAGAACUAAUACAAAUGAACUUAUUUACAAGACAAAUAGAAUCAUAGACAUAGAAACAAACUUAUGGUAACCAAAGGGAAAAGGAGGGGAGGGAUAAAUUAGGAGUUUAGGAUUAAGAGAUGCAGACUACCAUAUAUAAAAUAGAUAGGAUUUACUGUUUGGCACAGGGAACUACGCUUAAUGUCUUGUAAUAACCCGUAAUGGAAAAAAUGUGAAAAAUAUGUGUAUAUAUACUUGCUUGCUUCUUGGAAGGAAAGCUAUGACAAACCUAGACAAUAUAUUAAAAAGCGAAGACAUCACUUUGCUGACAAAGAUCCGUAUAGCCAAGGCUGUAGUCUUUCCAUUAGUCAUGUAAGGAUGUGAGAGGUGGACCAUAAAGAAGACAGAGAGCCAAAGAAUUGAUGCUUACAACUGUGGUGCUAGAGAUGACUUAAGAGUCCCUUGGACAGCAAAGAAGAUCAAACCAGUCAAUCCUAAAGGAGAUCAAUCUUGAAUACUCAUUGGAAGGACUGAUGCUAAACUGUGGUGUUGGAGAAGACUCUUGAGAGUCCCUUGGACUGCAAGGAGAUCCAGCCAGUCCAUUCUGAAGGAGAUCAGCCCUGGGAUUUCUUUGGAAGGAAUGAUGCUGAAGCUGAAACUCCAAUACUUUGGCCACCUCAUGCGAAGAGUUGACUCAUUGGAAAAGACUCUGAUGAUGGGAGGGAUUGGGGGCAGGAGGAGAAGGGGACGACGGAGGAUGAGAUGGCUGGAUGGCAUCACUGACUCGAUGGACAUGAGUUUGGGUAAACUCCGGGAGUUGGUGAUGGACAGGGAGGCCUAGAGUGCUGCGAUUCAUGGGGUCGCAAAGAGUUGGACACGACUGAGCGACUGAACUGAAGCUCCAAAUGGCCACCUAAUGCAAAGAGCCAAUUCAUUGGAAAAGACCCUGAUGCUGGGAAAGAUUAAAGGCAGGAGAAGACAGCAACAGAGGAUGAGAUGGUUGGAUGGCAUCACCAAUUCAAUGGAUAUGAACUUGGGCAAACUCUGGGAGAUAGUGAGCGACAGAGAGGCCUGGUGUGCUGCAGUCCAUGGGAUCACAAAGAGUCAGACAUGACUUAGUGACCAAAUAACAACAGCAACAUACAUAUACAGGUGCUGUAUACCUGAAACUAAUACAAUACUGUAAAUCAACUAUGCUUCAAUUAAAAAAAAAGAAAUUCCAGAAAGUUCAAAAAAAGAAAAAACAGCUUUCACAGUAUUCCUAAGCUUCUGGCAUUUCAUUCCUUCCAGUGGACUCUGAGGCUAACUGGCUUAGAUUCUGGAGGCAUCUAAGGGCCUGGAGAAGGGGCCCCUGCCAUCUGGGGCUAAAAGAAAACUUGGCCCCUCAUAGGACAAAGAGUAGCCUCAGGCACCCAAAAUGACAAAAAUCUAUGCCCUGCAGCAAUAUGGCGAGGAUAAAGAUGGAGUGAAUUCAGUUACUGU
ensembl:lncRNA